UCAGCAAGGUUCUGCUGGAAAAUCAAGACGGAUAGGGUCCGAGAUAUCAUGAUAGCUUGUAUAUGGCCCAGGCAACAUUGGUGUGGGACCUUGUUAAACCUGGUGGUGCUCUCCCCAUGGCAACUACUGGACAGCCCAGACCUCUUAUCCUGAGACCACAAUCGCCUCCUCCAUCCUAACCUUGCUAACCCAGAGGAGCAGACCUGUUCGGAGGGUGUCUUCCAGGUCCUCCACAGAAGCAGAAAACCUUUGACACAUCAGACCUACCUGCAAAAUGGCCGAUGGUCUCCUGUUGGGUGGCUGAUCACGGUGUUUUCCCUUGGACCACUAUGAUCCAAUCAGUAUUGGAUUAUCUGCUCCAUCUAAAAAAUCAGAUUUUUUGCUCAAGAUGCAUCUGGGGGCCAUUUCCACCUUUCACCCCAUGGUCCUGUCUCACACUCUUUUCUCUCACGACAAGACAGGGCCAGGGUUCUGAAGCAACUUUUCCUUCAGGUCAGGCCCCAGUUCCCAAGGGGAACCUGAACUUAAUCCUGUCCAGGCUCAUGAGACCUCCCUUUGAGCCUCUGGUUACAUGCUUCUGGUUCCAUCUAUCCUGGAAAGUAGCAUUACUCAUGGCUAUCACAUCAGCCUAACAAGUCUUUGAGCAUUGUGCCUUGACCUCUGAAGUGCCAUGCAUGGUCUUCCAUAAACAUAAAGUCCAGUUCCGGCCACACCCACUGGCCAUCAAUGUAUGCAUUAACUAUGCCCUAAUCACCCAGACUAGGUUCACCAGAGCUGUGCUGCUCCCUACUUGUCCCUGUAGGGACUCCUUCCUGCCUCCAGGUGAAUACUGCUGGGGAGUUACCUACUGUGGCAUGCCCAUGAGCAAUCACUGGAAGAAGAAUAGACAGUCACCUGUGCUGUAACUAGUGUUCAAGAUGUGUUGCUCACGUCCGUGCUACAUCCUGCCUUUCCCACUGUCAGAGUUUCCGGCAUGAAGGAGCUAUGCGCAGGAGCCCCAUGGAGUUGCCUCUCCAAGGAUUACUGCGGGUGCUCCCCUACAGGUACUGCUAAAGAAAAAAAUCUGGCACUGCUGCAUAUGGAGAACACGCUCACCCAACGUGGAGUGGACAUUAACAACAUACGUUCAAGAGCAACAGUUAUGGAACAGGUAACUGUCUUUUAUGCUUUCAUAUCACUUUUGAGUUGCCCUCAUCUUUACAGGUAAUUUAUUUGCAUUAAGUGGCACCAAAGGGUCAAAAUUGAAUUGUAAGCAAAGUGUGCUAGAUGAACCAAACCGCUCCUGUGUCAAAGCUUACUCAAUCUGCAUAGACAAAACAAAAUGUAUAAUGGGCUGAAGCAAAGGUUGUGACUUUCCAAUGUCACAUAGUAGAGUAUUACAACAAUGUUACUCUUCUGUUCCUCAUGUGUGAUACUAAUAUUGACUUGCGCAGCAUGAGGACUUACUAUCUUAGUCGACUUACAGAGACUAUAAAUGAGCACUUUCUAAAUGAAGUGGUUACAUUUCAAAGCUGCCUCUCUCUCAAGGCCUUUUGGCAGAGACAUAUCAUCCCUAAUGAUACUAUAUGAAGAUAUGAGCCCAUUUAACACUGUGUUAAUGAAUUCAAUCUAGUGUCCUGUCCACUAGCCAAUGCUCUGUCUCCGUUGAGUUGGUUGAUUAGUUAUAGCUAAAAAUUGAAUUUAUAGAAUUUGAUUCUAUUUCUGGCAGUCUGGGGCUAAAGAUAAACACUUUUGGGGGAUGUUGGGUUAUUACUCUCUUAACAUAGAAAAAAGGAGUCUCAAACUGGUUCCUAUGGUGAACCAUCCUAAAAGAGAGGAAUUGGGCUUGUACUUUUACAUUAAAAACAAAACAAAUUUGCUGGUUGUCUUUAAACUCAGGUUUGGUUCAGUCUGAAAUUAGAAUUAGUAAAAUGAUAUCAAGAGAAUGAAAGCUAAGCAAAUGAGAUGGGAAGGAUUUUAAUCAGUGUUUACAUUUGUUAGCUCCAUUUUUUAAAAAUUAAAUAGAUGUUCUUUAUCUGUACACAGUGUCUCAUAGCCAUUUUGGAUAAAGGACUCAUUCAGUAUCCCAGCAACUUCAAUUAGUGAGAUCUCACAAUACACUGAAGCUGUCCUACAGCAAAGCAUGAAAAGACUAGACUUGAUCUAGCCAAGGCAGUCUGAAAUAAUGGAUCAUAGAAUCUGAGGAGCAAACCAGCAUCAUCUGUCUAUGUAAGUUUAUGGCUCUUGCUGCUCUAGUAUCUGAAGGUCUCAACACAUCUGUUGAAAUAGGAAAGAUUUUUAUUCAUGUUUGCCGGGGGUGCGGGAAAUCUGAUGUGUGACAAAGUGACACAGGUCACAAAAUCCAGUUCUGGCACAGCUCAGGUUUUCUGACUCUAGUGCCAUAUCCACUAAACUAAACUGGUCUCCGUCUUUGGUUUACAGUGACAAAUUCAUCCAUUCAUCUUAACAGAGUACUAACUCAAAUAUGAAGAGUCUGCAACUUCCUUCUCCUGAAAACUUGAACAGUUUGGCAUUUUGAAAAUGUGGCAACACUUAAAUAUAGUACCAAAAGAGAAGCAUUAUUGUUCCAAUCGUAUUUUUCAUAUUCACUUGGAGUCUUCCGUUUUUUUAAGAAAACUCUGAAGUUCCCAGAAGACUUCCAUUGUACUGCAGUAGCUUGCUUCAGAAUACAGUGUUACCUGAAUUUUGCAUGUAAGUAAUCUGCACUGGGCCUCCUUGUUCUAUCAACAAAUGUCAGCUACACUUUGCUGCUACUAGAAAUAAAGUUCAAAUGCUUCUCCAUAAAUAAUUCUGCCUAGUGCAAGCAUUCUGUGUCAGGAUUUCUGUCCAUCCCAAUCUUAACGAGUUAGGGAAGAGAAAUUACUGUUGCCAGAAUAUGUGAAGGCAAAUGAAAUCCUAAAGUGAAAAGUGGGCAAAGGGCUAACAUUUGGAACUAUUUAUUAGAAUAGUUAUUUAUGCUGUAAGGUUUUUAGGAGUGCUCACUGUUAACUGUAGCCUGUCUUCAUUGUAAUGCCUAAAUAACUAGACAGUGCUAUACAGCAACAUCAGUGGAGACCACCAGAUGACAGUAAUUUUCAGUUACCGCUUCCCUGGGACUAAAUAGAAAUUGGUACCAGAGACGAAAGACUCAUCUCAUCCAAAUCCCAGGUGGUGUCUUUAUAACUUUUCCAUACUUAAACUGGGCUCACAAUCAUCAGUUUCAGGUCCCUCACCCCUAAAGCUCAGUUCAUGUACUGGCAUACAAAAUCUUCCACAGUUCUAAUCUUUUGUACUAUACUAGUUAUUUCAGUAAUAAAUGUACAAGACAGUUUGCACAGUACCACCGGAACAAAGCCCCUUGAUUGUGUUCAGGCCACAUGCUGAUGGUACAGAGCUUCUUACAUGGCGAUGUACUAUAGCCUCAACUGAGGACAACACAAAGAAUGAUCAAUAACACACGAUAGUAAUGAUAUUUAAUAAACAUUUGUUUACAUUUUUUCAAAAGUUGCUGGUGUAAUUCAUAAUGUACACUGAAUUGGAAUAGCUACAAACCUCUUAUACAAAUUUUCAGCUAUGUGAAGAAAUAACAGAUUUAGUUGCCAGUUGAAUUUCAUCUAUGUCCUUUGGAAUACCCCAGCUUGGUCAAGAGAGCUCUGAACUCUUUGUAUCCACUUGAACCAACAACAUUACAUCAUCUUUUAAUUUACUUGACAUGCUAAAAUAUAUUUUUUUAAAAGGCACAAUUUUUUGCAGGCUUCUGAAGUUUAUCACACUUUGAGGGCUGUUUGCUUUCCUUCCAUGGUGUUUGUGCAGAGAGAGUUCCAAGUUGUUGAGACAAGCUCUGCAGGUGAGCUUUAUCAUUAUGUUCUUCUCUUGUAUUUAAUGCAGUAACAGUUUCAUAUGAGGAAAAUGUAAUCAAUAGAAAACUUAAACUGCCUUUUAGUCUUUUAGCCAUUGCCUUUGAUACCAAUCAGUGAUCUAGGUUGGGUUUUUUUUAAAAGCAAAUGUCUUUGAAUUAAAUCAAAUCAAAUCAUCACAGAAAUACAUAACUGGUAUGUAAAUAAAUAACAAUGUUGCUUCCAGCAUCAUAUGUGACCUUUGGUUAAAUUAAGUGCUUAUAGUCCUUGAAGUUCCAAAAAGAUACAUAUUUAGACCAUAUUGCAGAUUUUUCUUAAGUUAAAAUCAAUGAAUAUUCCAGUUGGUGAAUAAGGAUUAUAAUAGUCCAUAUUAUAUUGAAUUAGAUGUAAUAUAGUUACAUUUUCAGAAUUAGAAACCUUUUUAUAGGAAGUAGGCCAAAUUUACUAUUGUUGAAGUAUGUAGUAAAUGACUCAUUUUACAGUUAUUAAAGAAAAGAUUCAUAAGGGCAGAGAAAUG